UCUCGGAAUCUGGCUGUUUGCAGCUGGAAACAAGCAUCUUUACAGCGGAGGCUUAUGCACUAUUGUCAGCUGUAAGACACAUCAAGGAAAUAAAACUACAGAAGGGAAUAAUAUUUAGAUUUAUUAAGUGUUGUCAAAGUCCUAAUUUCUCUAUGAAAGAAUAAAAAUCCUGUCUUUACUGAACUUUGUUCAAUCAUCCAUGCUUUGUAAGCAUCUCAUCAAAAUAUCAUAUCCCCUUCAGCAGUGCUGGCUACGUUUGUGUACGCAAAUUUGAAUCGCCCGCCGGUGCAAGUGAAAGCCUCCGUGGGGAAUUUGGGUGCCUUCCGCAGUUUCGUAAACGCAUCACACGGGAACAUCUAGCGCCAUCUCUCUUUGGAUAGCGAAGCUCAAGCACAAUCAUUCAAGAUGGAUGCCUCCGCGUUCUACAGGUCGGCACGUCUCGAAGAUCACUCCUGCUCAAGAAGAGUAGCGAUGUCAUCAGCUGAGCAAUUUUUACUAAAUAUUGCCGAUGGAAAUGUGUCGGAUGGCAACUUCUCCGGCGAUGAGCUGGAUGAGACUAGAAAUAACACCUCAAGAGAGCUAAUGACCGGCAGCAGGUACUGCUGACAAGGACAGCGAGGACGAAGAGCCCUUGCCACCCCAGCCAUCUCAACCUAAACGCAAAAAGAAAGCGGAAGUGAAACGCAUUGACAAGAAUUUUACACCUAGAAGCACUGAUUGCACAUUCAGUCACCAAGAAGCGACUGCUCCGCUAGAGCCUCUUAAAUACUUCCUGAAGUAUUUUGCAGAAAUGUUCAGCGAGCUAGCCAAGUUCACUAACAUUUAUGCUUUGCAACAAAAGGGAGUUGAGCUGCAGACCACAGCUGAUGAAAUGAAGGUAUUCUUCGGUGUAAUGAUGCGAAUGGCAGUCCUGAAGUACCCAAGAAUACGAUUGUAUUGGCAAGAGGAUACAAAGGUUCCCACAAUUGCUGACAUGAUGUAAUGCAAGCGGUUUUUCAAACUCUGGGCCAUGCUCCAUGUGACUGACGUUAACAGUCCAAGGGACCCUACAUCGACAAAUUUUGGAAAGUAAGACCAAUAAUCAGUGCAAUACAAACCCAAUGUCUCAAGCUUGUCCCAUUGCCAGUUCAAAGCAUUGAUGAUCAAAUGAUUCCUUUUACGGAAAGGGUUGUUGUGAAGCAAUUUGUGAAAGGGAAGCCUAACCCAGAAGGGAUUAGUGUUCAUUUGCUGUAGUGCUGAUGGCUUGACCCACGACCUGGAAAUUUACCAGGGGAAAGGCACAGGCGUAAGUGAGAACCAUUCUCACCUCGGCCUAGGGGGUUCUGUUGUGAUGUGGCUUGUAGAACAUGCUCCACAUGGGCACAACAUGAGGGUUUACAUGGUUAACUAUUUUUCCUCUGUGCCCCUCUUGUGGGAACUGAGAGGUUGGAAUCUUAUGAAGUGGCACCAUCCGAUCGAACCAUCUCUUCGGAUGCCCCUUGAAAAGCGACAAGAAACUAAAGCAGACAGGGUGCAGUAGCUACAAUAGGAAGGUCAGCGAAGGAGAUAUUGUAAUAGUUAGGUGAGGGGGCGGGGGGGGGGGGUGCAUGACAACGGUCCGGUGAACAUGGUGUCAACAAUCAUUGGCAUCGGAGAGUUGUCAAAGGUGAAAAGGUGGAGCGAGUCACAAAAACAGUAUGUUGAAAUUGACUGCCCGGAAGUCAUUUCACAAUACAACAGCUUCAUGAGAGGUGUGGACAAAUUAGAUUUUUUUGUCUUUGUGCCCCCUGGAAGCCAAGACGAAGAAGUGGCUAGUCUGUGUAAUCUCGUACUUCGUUACAUUUGCAAUGGCUGGAUAGAGUACAUUCGUGAUGCAAAUGAAGAAGGCAUCUCCAAGAAGGACAUAGAUGUGAUGGCCUUCCAAACGGAUGUAGCCCGCCGUCUCAUCGCAAUCAACAAAAGCAAGCGGCCCAAGAAGGGACGGCCGAGCAGUGCUGUGAGGUCAAGUAAUUCUCGGAAGGCACAUAACUCUACACCAAUGCCCAGUGGUUGAUGCUUCGCUUCUUCGCUCAACAAUGCAAGAACCAUGGAUGCACGUCGAGGUCCCAAGUUUGCUUCCGCAAGUGUGAAGUCUUUCUUUGCUUGUCUGCUGCAAACGACUGCUUUAACGAAUUUCAUACCAAAAUCUGAAAUCCUGUUUUGUAGUGCUUAACUGUUUCAAAAAAAAAUGUUUUAUUUGCACAAGCAGUUUCUUACCGUAAAGCCUUACUCCUAGACAAAAGCUGGAAGGUUGUGAUUGAGGCGUGAUGUGCACAAUUGUGCAUGCAACAAGAGUUUUUGUGUGAACAAAAAACAAUUGUAGGAAACUUCUUUCUUUUCUGGGUGUUUAAUAAAGUUCCUUUUGAAAAUAAUUAUAAUUUUCUUGGCUGUUUUUCUUAAUUCGCGCCUGAAGGGGUUAUGCUGGGUAUGUGGCCGCGGAGGCAUUGAGGGUAAUAUACUUGGUGACCGUUUAGCCACAACAUUAAUCAGAGAACCAAGUUAUUCUUUCGUAGGUGUACCUGUGAUAGAUUUAGAGCCCUUCCUGUGCAAGAAACUGAGGGUCCAUUGGCAACAUAUGUGGCACACUGAAACACUUAACUGCAUGUUAUUAAGCCAAACGUAGGAAACUAGCCACCAAUAACAAAUGUACGACAGGCAGGUUAUCUUCUGACGCCAUAGGAUAGGUCAUGCUUAUGGCACUCGCUCCUACCUGUUAACAAGUGAUGAUACUCCUAUCUGCGAUAAAUGUGGCGUGAUGCUUGCGGUCCUUGACAUCUUCUUAGAGUGUCGAUAAAUAGAAGCUCAACGAAAAAUGUACUUUUCCUCGGCAUAUAGACAACACAUUGCCCUCCACACCCCGCAUUGUUUUUCGGCUUUGAACCACUGUUUGACAACAAGAUAGCUUUAAUGUUUUU